rnacentral:rRNA from 1 species
UAGGAUUCCCUCAGUAGCGGCGAGCGAACAGGGACGAGCCCAGCACCGAAGCCCGCGGCCGUAGCCGGCCGCCGGGCAAUGUGGUGUUAGGGAGGGCCCGCUCGACCCGAGCGCGCGCGGCGAGUCCAAGUCCUUCUUGAACGGGGCCGCUCUCCCAGAGAGGGUGCCAGGCCCGUAGUGACCGCCGCAGCGCACGGGUGGGUCUCUCCUAAGAGUCGGGUUGCUUGAGAGUGCAGCCCCAAUCGGGUGGUAAACUCCAUCUAAGGCUAAAUACGACCACGAGACCGAUAGCGAACAAGUACCGUGAGGGAAAGUUGAAAAGAACUUCGAAGGGAGAGUUCAAGAGUACGUGAAACCGUUCAGGGGUAAACCUGAGGAACCCGAAAGGUCGAAAGGGGAGAUUCAAACGUCUCGCCGGUGGCGACCGCUCGUCGCGGCCGGGACGGCUCCGCGGUUCGCCGCGGACCGCCCGCCCGGCGCGCGCCGUCCGUCGCCGGGGUCGUGCACUUCUCCCCUUGUAGGACGUCGCGACUCGUUCGGUGCCGGUCUAAGGCCCGCAAGGUAGCCCGCGGGGCGGCGCUCCGGCGCCGCGCCCGGACCUGCGGUGACCCGGCCGGCCGCCGGACGGUACGAUCAGCCGGCGCUGGAUCGCAUCAUCUGAGAUGUGCGUUCUCCGGCCCGCGGCAAGCAGGCGCGCGAUCGUCGGAAAUCGGACCUGGUGCCGGUUCCGCGUCCGCACCGCUGUUGGCCGCGGUGUCCUCGGACGGAUCCAUUCGGCGCCCGUCGGCGACGCUUCAGCUUUGGGUAAUUUCAGGACCCGUCUUGAAACACGGACCAAGGAGUCUAGCGUGCGCGCGAGUCAUUGGGACAGUGCUAAGCCCAAAGGCGCAAUGAAAGUGAAGGUGCCGCUUAGCGCGCGCACCGAGGGAGGAUGGGCGGCCCGGUCGCGCUUCGCGGCGCGGCCGCAGAAGUCGCCCCGCACUCCCGGGGCGUCUCGCGCUCAUCGCGAGGCGAGGCGCACCACGAGCGCGCGCGCUGGGACCCGAAAGAUGGUGAACUAUGCCUGGUCAGGAUGAAGUCAGGGGAAACCCUGAUGGAGGUCCGUAGCGAUUCUGACGUGCAAAUCGAUCGUAGGAACUGGGUAUAGGGGCGAAAGACUAAUCGAACCAUCUAGUAGCUGGUUCCCUCCGAAGUUUCCCUCAGGAUAGCUGGCGCCCGAGGGAACUGAGAGACGGGCGUGGCGGGCCCGGCGCGUGCGGCGGUCGCUCCCUCGGGCGCGUUCUCGCCGCGCAACAGCGCGCCGACGAGCUCGCUCGCGUCGCGCCGCGUUCGCGCGGCGCGGCCGUCGCUGACGAGUCUCAUCCGGUAAAGCGAAUGAUUAGAGGCAUUGGGGUCGAAACGGCCUCAACCUAUUCUCAAACUUUAAAUGGGUGAGAUCUCCGGCUUGCUUGAACAGUGAAGCCGGAGAUCGGAUCAACG